GCCAGACUCCUACGGGAGGCAGCAGUGGGGAAUAUUGCACAAUGGGGGAAACCCUGAUGCAGCGACGCCGCGUGAGUGAAGAAGUAUUUCGGUAUGUAAAGCUCUAUCAGCAGGGAAGAAAAUGACGGUACCUGAUUAAGAAGCCCCGGCUAACUACGUGCCAGCAGCCGCGGUAAUACGUAGGGGGCAAGCGUUAUCCGGAUUUACUGGGUGUAAAGGGAGCGUAGACGGUGAUGCAAGUCAGAAGUGAAAGCCCGGGGCUCAACUCCGGGACUGCUUUUGAAACUGUGUGACUGGAGUGCAGGAGAGGUAAGCGGAAUUCCUGGUGUAGCGGUGAAAUGCGUAGAUAUCAGGAGGAACACCAGUGGCGAAGGCGGCUUACUGGACUGUAACUGACGUUGAGGCUCGAAAGCGUGGGGAGCAAACAGGAUUAGAUACCCCCGUAGAU
rnacentral:rRNA from 1 species